CGAAAGCCUGACGGAGCAACGCCGCGUGAGGGAGGAAGGCCUUAGGGUUGUAAACCUCUUUUCUCUGGGAAGAAGAACUGACGGUACCAGAGGAAUAAGCCUCGGCUAACUCCGUGCCAGCAGCCGCGGUAAGACGGAGGAGGCAAGCGUUAUCCGGAAUUAUUGGGCGUAAAGCGUCCGCAGGCGGUUUUUUAAGUCUGUUGUCAAAGCCCACAGCUCAACUGUGGAUCGGCAAUGGAAACUGGGAGACUUGAGUGUGGUAGGGGUAGAGGGAAUUCCCGGUGUUAGCGGUGAAAUGCGUAGAUAUCGGGAAGAACACCAGUGGCGAAGGCGCUCUACUGGGCCACAACUGACGCUGAGGGACGAAAGCUAGGGGAGCG
rnacentral:rRNA from 1 species